GGAGAGAGAGAGAGAGAGAGAGACAGAAUGAGACACAUGCAGAGGGAGAGAGAGAGAGAGACAGAAUGAGACACAUGCAGAGGGAGAGAGAGAGAGAGAGACAGAAUGAGACACAGGCAGAGGGAGAGAGAGAGAGAGCGACAGAAUGAGACACAUGCAGAGGGAGAGAGAGAGAGAGCGACAGAAUGAGACACAUGCAGAGGGAGAGAGAGAGAGAGAGAGGGAGAGACGACAGAAUGAGACACAGGCAGAGGGAGAGAGAGAGAGAGAGACAGAAUGAGACACAUGCAGAGGGAGAGAGAGAGAGAGAGAGAGAGACAGAAUGAGACACAGGCAGAGGGAGAGAGAGAGAGAGCGACAGAAUGAGACACAGGCAGAGGGAGAGAGAGAGACACAGGCAGAGACAGAAUGAGACACAGGCAGAGGGAGAGAGAGAGAGAGAGACAGAAUGAGACACAUGCAGAGGGAGAGAGAGAGAGAGAGAGAGAGAGACAGAAUGAGACACAGGCAGAGGGAGAGAGAGAGAGACAGAAUGAGACACAGGCAGAGGGAGAGAGCGAGUGACAGAAUGAGACACAGGCAGAGGGAGAGAGCGAGAGAGAGAAUGAGACACAGGUAGAGGGAGAGCGAGAGAGAGAAUGAGACACAGGCAGAGGGAGAGAGCGAGUGACAGAAUGAGACACAUGCAGAGGGAGAGAGCGAGAGACAGAAUGAGACACAGGCAGAGGGAGAGAGACAGAGAGAGACAGAAUGAGACACAUGCAGGUAGAGGAGAGAGAGAAUGAGACAGAAUGAGACACAGGUAGAGGGAGAGAGAGAGAGAGCGACAGAAUGAGACACAUGCAGAGGGAGAGAGAGAGAGAGAGAGCGACAGAAUGAGACACAGGCAGAGGGAGAGAGAGAGAGAGAGAGCGACAGAAUGAGACACAUGCAGAGGGAGAGAGAGAGAGACAGAAUGAGACACAGGUAGAGGGAGAGAGCGAGUGACAGAAUGAGACACAGGCAGAGGGAGAGAGCGAGUGACAGAAUGAGACACAGGCAGAGGGAGAGAGCGAGAGAGAGAGAGAAUGAGACACAGGCAGAGAGAGAAAGAUUAAUGACAGCCCGACCCAGAAAAUUAAAUUAAAUUGUGACUGACCAUGGA
ensembl:lncRNA